GGCCAGGGGGACGCAAAAGGUAUAAGCUAAAACAUAUAAUAUGGGCAAGCAGGGAGCUAGAACGAUUUGCACUUAAUCCUGGUC
rfam:HIV-1 isolate 01CM.0908MO from Cameroon gag protein (gag) and pol protein (pol) genes, partial cds; vif protein (vif), vpr protein (vpr), tat protein (tat), rev protein (rev), vpu protein (vpu), and envelope glycoprotein (env) genes, comple